GCUUCUCUGACACAAACUCAGUUUAAUAUAAACAGCAAAGCAUCCGAGACUCACAAACUGCUGUUGAUGGAAGUAAACCAGAACCCACCUUAUCUGAAGGGAAGCACAUAACCCAAUGUCAGACUGCCUGGCUCAACCACAUACUGGUGAAGGCUUUGGCCACUGCUCUGGAGAUCUUACUCAGCUUUCCUGGCUUGGACUCCCCCAUAUAUACAGGAGGUUUUUUACUUUACAAAAACUAACAACUGAAAAGAAUAUCCAGAAGGAAGAAGAAAUAAAGGAGGCACUAAUGUCUACGGUUCCUGUAUUUUUCAACCGUAAUGA